AGAUGAAAAGAGUUCCUUAUAGAGAAGCUAUUGGUAGCUUAAUGUAUCCAUCAAAUGGUAGACACUACGUUUGCUGUUAACUAUUUAACGAGAAAACAAAUGAAGCCGACCGAAGCUGAUUGGAAAGGUGUAAAGAGAAUCGUCAGGUAUAUGAAAGGUACUGUGAAUUUAAGUCUUAAAUUCACCGCUCAAACUGAAUACUAAGAGGCAUUUACCGAUGCAACAUUUAGAGACCAUACCGACUUGUCAUCAACUGAAAGAGCCGAAUACCUAGCCAUGAAUAAUGCCUAUCAAGAAUUAAUAAUUCUUGACAAGGUACUUAGAUUUGUGAUAGGAAAACUGAUGUUUCCUAUAACAGUCUGGUGUGAUAACAAAUCCGCUGGAGACUGCACCAAGAGAGAUGGUGAUCACAAACUAAAGGUAUUUGAUGAUCGUUUAGAUGACGACCUAAUACAUAGAGAGAAAUCUGGACUUAGAAGACAUAUGGCUGAAACACAUGGUGAUUUCAUAAAA